rnacentral:misc_RNA from 1 species
UUCCUCUAGUUUAGAUGCAAGCCAGACACAACUAGCUGCAACUUUCUGCAAAAUAUAUUACCACAUCCUAAUUAUUAGUUGAAAAUCGUUGAAACACAUAUUGCAAUGCUUCUAAUCAGAUAUAUUACUAAUCCUUGUUGCUAAAAUAAUGAAUUCAUUCUAGAAAAUUUUCAUAAAAUGGAAGUUAAGAAAUCACAAAGCUUCAACUGAAAUAAAUGCAAACUCCUCAGCAUUACAAAUGAAAAUUAAGGAUUAACCUUGACAUCAAAUCGGGCAAAUGA